UAGGGAAUCUUCGGCAAUGGGGGGCAAACCCUGACCGAGCAACGCCGCGUGAGUGAAGAAGGUUUUCGGAUCGUAAAGCUCUGUUGUAAGAGAAGAACGUGUGUGAGAGUGGAAAGUUCACACAGUGACGGUAACUUACCAGAAAGGGACGGCUAACUACGUGCCAG
rnacentral:rRNA from 1 species